GAUGAACGCUGGCGGCGUGCCUAAUACAUGCAAGUCGAGCGAACAGACGAGGAGCUUGCUCCUCUGACGUUAGCGGCGGACGGGUGAGUAACACGUGGAUAACCUACCUAUAAGACUGGGAUAACUUCGGGAAACCGGAGCUAAUACCGGAUAAUAUAUUGAACCGCAUGGUUCAAUAGUGAAAGACGGUUUUGCUGUCACUUAUAGAUGGAUCCGCGCCGCAUUAGCUAGUUGGUAAGGUAACGGCUUACCAAGGCAACGAUGCGUAGCCGACCUGAGAGGGUGAUCGGCCACACUGGAACUGAGACACGGUCCAGACUCCUACGGGAGGCAGCAGUAGGGAAUCUUCCGCAAUGGGCGAAAGCCUGACGCAGCAACGCCGCGUGAGUGAUGAAGGUCUUCGGAUCGUAAAACUCUGUUAUUAGGGAAGAACAAAUGUGUAAGUAACUAUGCACAUCUUGACGGUACCUAAUCAGAAAGCCACGGCUAACUACGUG
rnacentral:rRNA from 1 species